UCCACAACUUCAUAGUGGAAAUUAUGGUCCUAGGGAGCUACAAUUAUUUUCUUUAAGGAGAGUGGUUAAUAAAUUUUUACUUGUGUGUUUCAGAGCUGUAAUACAUUAUCAAAUUCACUAAGUCCGACAUGUUUUCACAAAUGUGGUUGUUACUUGUUAGUCUGUUGGUAGAGUUUGUAAUACCCUUAUAGUCUAUGCUUUAUUUACUGUUUGAGGGCUACUUCUCAUGGGUUGAGUAGCCUGCUUCUGCCUCUCCAAUUACUGAUAGGACAAAACAACACUUGGGCUCAACGAGAAUACCUCACUGAAGAAGUCAUGGCUGGAUGACUGGGUCCAUACGUUUAGUCUGAUCGUGUUUUUUUUUCAUCUUUAGCUGGGCUGAUUGUUCUUUUCUUCCUAGUUCCUAGAGGCUAGAGCUGGUCAUGGGCAAGGCCCUAAAAUGCCAACCUAUUUUGUCCCAGGUUAUCUCCACUUGUUCAAGUUGAAUAAUAUGCCCAAUCUCAACUAAUAGGAUCAGAUCUAUUUCUUACUAUUUACUAUAACAUUGUUUUUAAUAUCCUAGAUAACAAAUAUCUAUACAGGGUAUAUUGGAGAGUGGCAAUCUGAUGGGUGCAUGAAGAUUGAAGAUCAUUGAUCUUAUGAAAAACAUUUUCAAGUUUUCACAGGGAUAAUAUUAUUUCACUAGUUCAGUUGAAAACUUGGAGAAUACUUACUGUCUUGCCUCGGAAAUUGAUGCAAUAUAGGUUUAUGGAAAUAGCUUCCAGUCUUUCCUUGUUGUAGUUAACCCCAACAAGCGGGCUCUUGAAUCUUGGGCUGAAGAAUACAGUGUUGUAUGUGAUUUUAGUUCACUAUGCCAGCAUCCUAGAGCAAAGGCGUAUUUGUUAUGGAGUAACUGGUGUUAUGGAGUAACUGGGUUCUGCUUCUGUUCUGGUUGCACUUGGCUUGAUGCUGUUGUUGAGUGACAGAUGCAGGGUUCCACUUUGAAGAGUAGUUAGAUGUUCAGUCAGAUGGGAAGCUGUUGUUGCAACCGCUUAAAGAUGCUUCUUUUGGAGUGAGUUGCAGUUACAUUAUGACCACUUUUGGGGCAUCAAGCUGGCCUAGUUGUCUAAUCAUGUAUUCAAGUUUCAAGGGGAUCCAAGGCAUUGUAAAGCCAAGGGUACUUGUUUAUAU